GAGAAUUAUGAUUUUGAGAAUUUCAUAACUUAUUCUUAUCAUGGAUGUAAGAAAGAAACUGAGUCAUGAGGGUAUCUGAAUAGAAAGGGCAGAAACUGAACUCAACAGACCAACAGACCAUUCCAGAAUACAGCAUGGGGAGAGCAGUCAAUGUACACUUUGCUGAAAGUACAGAAAGGUUUUCAAUGAAAACUCUUCUGAAAAUUAACGGUAAUGUUCUAGGAUGUAAAAACACCUUAUAAAACUAUAUAUUUUUAUUGGAAGUGUCUUUGGGGGUUAAAAUGG